GCAGACAUAGGAUGACAAGCCACCUGCCAGUGCUGGAGACCACUGCUGUGCAUGCUGCCGCCUUCUUGUUCAUGUACCUCCCCCUCCCUCAUCCUUCAUGUUUACUUCUUUCACCGAAAUGAAAAUUGGUUGACUACAGAGCAGACACUUCCUAAACCUCUCAAGAAAUCCUGAAGCAAGCCAUGCCUCUUGAAUGAAACAUAGACAGCUGAUUCCUGGCCUGGUGCUGCCUUCUGUCUGCGAUGGAGUUCCUGUGCUGUUUAGACGAUUGCUUGCCUCUCAGAUGUCACAGUUGGUGAUAUGUAUGUUUACUGAGCAAUUGCUGUAGCCCCACAUUGCCCUUGACUGGAGAUACUGAAUAUACCAGCAAGCAGCACGAGACGUAUACAUUAUUGAAUCCUCAUCUUUGGCGCAUGGAGGGCUGGCUCUUCAACCCUACUGGUUUAGCCCAUGUAACAAAUGACUGAGGUGGAACCCACAGUGAAAAUACAAUGAUCACUCAGUCUAUUUAGUGCAAUGACUGAAGCAGGCUGAGGGAAACUGCUCAGGUCGUUCUGGUGUGGCCCUGCUGCCUUCUGAGGGAGUGGUGAAUUGGCAAUUACUCUGAUAAAUGUGGCUGCUGGAGACCCAUCUCUGUACAUUCAACAAACAUUAAUCAAGAGUCUACAAUGGGCCAGUCCCUACCAAAACCUGAGCCCUUGAGACAGAAAGCUAACAUAACUGUCUUCUGAGAGGCUCCAUCCAGCAGUCAGUGAAAACAGAUACAGAGACCGACACUCAAACAUUAGAUGGAGCUCAAGGAGUCUUAAGGAAGAGUUUGAGGAAGGAUUGAGGGACUUGAAGAGGACACAGACCUCAAAGGAAAACCAACAGAGUCAGCUAACCUGGACACUUGGGGACUCCCAGAGACUGAAUCACAAAACAAAAGUGAGCAUGGGCUGGGCUAGGCUCCUGCACAUAUGAAGCAGAUGAGCAGCUUAGUCUUCAUGCAGGUCCACCAACAACUAAAGUGGGGGCUGUCCCUGAGCCUGUUGUGUGCCUGUGGACUCCAUACCACUAAAUGGGUAGCCUUGUUUGGCUCAGUGAGAGAGGAUGUGACUAGUCCAGCAGCUAUUUGAUGUGCAGGGGGUGGGGGUAGGGGUCGUGAGGGGUUAGGUGUUUGACACCCAGAGGGGGUUUCACAUUCUCUUUUGAAAAGGGGAAGGUGGAAUAGGAGGAGGGCUUUCCUGAGGAGUACUGGGAGGAGAGGAAGGGCUGAUAUUGUGUUGUAAAGUGAAUAAAUAAGUAAAUUAAAAACAAAUAAAACUAACAAAAUUGAGAUCUGUGAUCUAUUUGGAUCUAAGUUUUGUACAGAGUGAUAGAGAUUGGUAUUAUUUUAUUCUUCUGUAUGUGGACAUACAGGUUUUCCAGUGCCAUUUGUUAAAGAUGCUAUCUCUUCUCUCGAGAGGUUUUUCCUCAUUGUCAAAUAUCAGAUGGCUAUAGUUAUGAGAACUCACAUGUGGGUCUUCUAUUAUUCCAUUGUUCUACAUGUAUGGUUUACGCUAGUACCAUAUUGUUUUAUUACUAUGGCAUCUCUAGAACUCUGGGCUAGCAAUUCCGCUAAAAUUAUUCUUUUGGUUCAGGAAUGGCUUGCCUCUCUGGGAUCCUUUCUCAUUUCAUAUGAAUUUUAUUCUGUCAAGAAUGUGGAUAUUUUAAUUAGUGUUUCAUUGAAUCUGUACAUUUCUUUUAGCUUGUAAAAGAAGCUUGUACUUGUAGCUUGGCUAUUUUCACAACUAAUUCUACUGACCCAUGAACACAGAAUGGCUUUGUAUUUUCUAGUUUAUUUCUCAAUCCCUUUCUUCAAAGAUUUGUAAUUUGCAUUGUAGAGGUUUUUCACCUCCUCAGUUAGUUUUAUUCCAAGAUAUUUUAUUGUCAUUGAUGCUAUUGAAAAUAAAAGUGCAUCUUCAAUGUGUUUGUUAUUGAUAUAUAGAAAGGCUGCUGAUUCUUACAAGAUAGAAAGAUAGAUAGAUAGAUAGAUAGAUAGAUAGAUAGAUAGAUAGAUAGAUAGAUAGAUUUUUUUUUUCAAGACAGGGUUUCUCUAUGUAGCCAUGGCUGUCCUGGAACUCACUCUGUAGACCAGGCUGGCCUUGAACUCAGAAAUCUGCCUGCCUUGCCUCCCAAGUGCUGGGAUAAAAGGUAUGUGCCACUACUGCCUGGCAUUAUGUAAGUAUUAUUACAAGUACUCUGCAAUUUUGCUGAAAUUGUUGUUUCUAGAAGUUUUAUUCUUUUUUAAAAAUUAGGUAUCUUCCUCAUUUGCAUUUCCAAUGCUAUCCCAAAAGUCCCCUAUACCCUACCCCCCACCCCCCUACCCACCCACUUCCACUUUUUGGCCCUGGCAUUCCCCUGUACUGGAGCAUAUAAAGUUUGCAAGUCCAAUGGGCCUCUCUUUCCAGUGAUGGCCGACUAGGCCAUCUUUUGAUACAUAUGCAGCUAGAGUCAAGAGCUCCCGGGUACUGGUUAGUUCAUAAUGUUGUUCCACCUAUAGGGUUGUAGAUCCCUUUAGCUCCUUGGGUAUUUUCUCUAGCUUCUCCAUUGGGGGCCCUGUGAUCCAUCGAAUAGCUGACUGUGAGCAUCCACUUAUGUGUUUGCUAGGCCCGGCCUAGUCUCACUAGAGACAGCUAUAUCAGGGUCCUAUCAGCACAAUCUUGCUAGUGUAUGCAAUGGUGUCAGCGUUUGGAUGCUGAUUAUGGGAUGGAUCCCUGGAUAUGGCAGUCUCUAGAUGGUCCAUCCUUUUGUCUCAGCUCCAAACUUUGUCUCUGUAACUCCUUCCGUGGGUGUUUUGUUCCCAAUUCUAAGAAGGGGCAAAGUGUCCACACUUUGGUCUUCGUUCUUCUUGAGUUUCAUGUGUUUUGCAAAUUGUAGCUUAUAUUUAUUCUUAAGGACUAUAUAUAAGAAUUUAGGUGGGGGUGUGGUAAGAAAGUAGCUUAGUGAGAGAUCUCUACUCUUUUGAGGUUCAAGUUCAAAAACCAAAAAGGAAAAACAAAUCCCUUUGAUUUUCAUCUUUAAAUUUUGGUAUCAAUCAAUCUAGUAUAAAUUUGUCUAUCACAAAAAUGGCUUGAAGCAUUCAUUGUCAAUCAAUUGGCUCUGGAAUUGUGUUUUUGUCUUGAGUUAUAUUUCCCACUUACUAUGGAUAUUAAACAUCUCUGUAUACUAUUAUUAGCUAGUUGUAUUUUGCAUCUGAUCCCCACUCAGUCUUCUGAAGUCCACUUUUUAUUUGAGUGCUAAUCUGUUCAUUAUGCAUCUAAAUGAACUUUCUGAAUAUUAUUGAUUCUAGGCAUUUGCCCACCAGUCAUUUUACAGAUGCAUUCUUCCAGUUAGCAAUUUGUUGUUCUGUGUCCUUUAAUGUGAGUUGAUGACUAAAAAUAUCUUUCUUGUCAAAAUUUCUAUAAGUAGUAUACAGAAAAGAUCAAAAAUAAAAAUAUUAAAUAUCUCACAUGAAAUAUUUAUGUGUAGUUUACUUAGAAAAUGUGAGAACAUAUAUAUCUUUGUGUUUAAUUAGAAUACUACAUCAAUAUUUUAAAGCUACUAUACAAAUAUUAUAAACAUUAAGUACCUUUGUGCAUUUGUAUAGUUAAUGCUAUUCAGUACAUAUUCACUUUUGAAACCAGUAAAAAGAGGACUGAAAUAGCAGAAAAUUAAAAAAUUCUAAUAAGAAGGGGGAAAAUUCUUUCUAUACUGAAGUAAGGUGAUAUUAACAUAAGUACUUAGCAUAUAUUUAGAAUAUUUAUUACCAUAUAUAGUGGGGUCACAUGACAUAUUUUAAAAUCUAAAACAUGUAAAUUUUGUUAAUUUAUUAAAAUGCAUAGCUACAGAAAGAUUUUGAAUAUAACACAGUCAUUGCUAUUCAUUAGAAUUUACUAUCCCUGAAUC